AUACGUAGGGAGCGAGCGUUGUCCGGAAUUACUGGGCGUAAAGGGCGCGUAGGCGGCGCUUCAAGUCGUCUGUCAAAUGGGAGGGCUUAACCCUUUUUCGCAGACGAAACUGGAGAGCUUGAGAAGCAGAGAGGCAAACAGAAUUCCUGGUGUAGCGGUGAAAUGCGUAGAUAUCAGGAAGAAUACCAGUGGCGAAGGCGGUUUGCGGGCUGCAUACUGACGCUGAAGCGCGAAAGCCAGGGGAGCAAACGGGAUUAGAUACCCCGGUAGUCCUGGCAGUAAACGAUGUAUGCUGGGUGUGAGACUAGCGAUAGUUUCGUGCCGAAGUUAACGCGAUAAGCAUACCGCCUGGGGAGUACGGUCGCAAGAUUGAAACUCAAAGGAAUUGACGGGG
rnacentral:rRNA from 1 species